AUUGAACGCUGGCGGCAGGCCUAACACAUGCAAGUCGAACGAGCGGCGGACGGGUGAGUAAUGUAUGGGAAACUGCCCGAUAGAGGGGGAUAACUACUGGAAACGGUAGCUAAUACCGCAUACCAUCGGAUGUGCCCAUAUGGGAUUAGCUAGUAGGUGGGGUAACGGCUCACCUAGGCGACGAUCCCUAGCUGGUCUGAGAGGAUGACCAGCCACACUGGGACUGAGACACGGUCCAGACUCCUACGGGAGGCAGCAGUGGGGAAUAUUGCACAAUGGGCGCAAGCCUGAUGCAGCCAUGCCGCGUGUAUGAAGAAGGCCUUCGGGUUGUAAAGUACUUUCAGCGGGGAGGCGUUACUCGCAGAAGAAGCACCGGCUAACUCCGUGCCAGCAGCCGCGGUAAUUC
rnacentral:rRNA from 1 species